UACGGGGGAUGCAAGCGUUAUCCGGAAUUAUUGGGCGUAAAGGGUCCUGAGGUGGCUAGCCAAGUCUAUUGUGAAAUAUCAGGGCUUAACCCUGAACAUGCGGUGGAAACUAGAAAGCUUGAGUACAGUAGGGGCGGAGGGAAUUUCCGGUGGGGCGGUGAAAUGCAUAGAUAUCGGGAAGAACACCAACGGCGAAAGCACUCCGCUGGGCUGAUACUGACACUGACAGACGAAAGCUAGGGUAGCGAAAGGG
rnacentral:rRNA from 1 species